UAGUCAUAUGCUUGUCUCAAAGAUUAAGCCAUGCAUGUCUAAGUAUAAACGACUUUGUACUGCGAAACUGCGAAUGGCUCAUUAAAUCAGUUAUAGUUUAUUUGAUGGUACCUUGCUACAUGGAUAACUGUGGUAAUUCUAGAGCUAAUACAUGCGUCAAAGCCGCGACUUCAGGAAGCGGUGUAUUUAUUAGAUAAAAAACCAACGCGGUCCGCCGCUCCCUUGGUGAUUCAUAAUAACUUCUCGAAUCGCGCGGCCUUGCGCCGGCGAUGCUUCAUUCAAAUAUCUGCCCUAUCAAGUUUAGAUGGUAGGAUAGAGGCCUACCAUGCUUUCAACGGGUAACGGGGAAUGAGGGUUCGAUUCCGGAGAGGGAGCCUGAGAAACGGCUACCACAUCCAAGGAAGGCAGCAGGCGCGCAAAUUACCCAAUCCCGACACGGGGAGGUAGUGACAAUAAAUAACGAUACUGGGCUCUUUCGGGUCUAGUAAUUGGAAUGAGUACAAUUUAAAUCCCUUAACGAGGAACGAUU
rnacentral:rRNA from 1 species